GACGGAGGGGGCUAGCGUUGUUCGGAAUGACUGGGCGUAAAGGGCGCGUAGGCGGUUUUUUAAGUGAGGCGUGAAAGCCCUGGGCUUAACCCAAGAGGUGCGUUUCAUACUGGAAGACUUGAGUACGAGAGAGGAAAGCGGAAUUCCUAGUGUAGAGGUGAAAUUCGUAGAUAUUAGGAAGAACACCAGUGGCGAAGGCGGCUUUCUGGCUCGUAACUGACGCUGAGGCGCGAAAGCGUGGGGAGCAAACAGG
rnacentral:rRNA from 1 species